rnacentral:rRNA from 1 species
AUUUAUACCUAUCUUUUACAAUAUAACUAAUAAAAACACUAAAAUACUAAAUAUUUAUACAGCAUAAAAAUCAAUAGUACUGAAAAGGAAUUAUAUACUAACUUUAAGUAGUGAAUAUCACGUACCUUGUGCAUUAUGGUUUUACAAGCUAUAAAUUAACAAUAUUAUCCCGAAUUCUAUGCGAGCUGCCACCAUAUAGCUAAGAGCCCACUUUUAAUUGUAGCAUCAACUUUAGAAAAUAUGGUGACAGGGGCUACAUACCAACCGCGCUAGAAAAUUGCUGGUUUUCAGUAAAAUUUAUUAAUUAAAACAUGUAGUAAUUCUACAAUGUAAGAUCUCAGAGGAUAAGCCCUGUAAUCUAAAGCUAAUAACUUUAUAACACACAUGUAAAUAGGCUUAAAAACAGCCAUCUACAAUACUUCACCGUUCUUAUACAUAUAAUAUAUAAACGUUCUGCUUCUAUAAACUGAAACUCAAGAAAAACAUUUUAUCUUAAAAUAAUCUGUAAAAAUAAGUA